UGGAAUGUAGCUUAGUGGUAGAGUGCUUGCCUAGCAUGCAUGAAGCCUAGGGUUUGAUUCCUCAGUACCAU
rfam:Dipodomys ordii contig_19125, whole genome shotgun sequence.